rnacentral:tRNA from 1 species
AGUAGAAUGACUGAGGUAAAAUAGGUGAUAGAUUGUAAAUCUAUUAAGGGGUUAAUUGAAUUCCCUUCUACUA